GGGAGUGUGGCUCAGUGGUAGAGCGCUUGCCUAGCAUGCACGAAGCUCUGGGUUCGAUUCCUCAGUACUA
rfam:Dipodomys ordii contig_59841, whole genome shotgun sequence.